AUUGAACGCUGGCGGCAGGCCUAACACAUGCAAGUCGAACGAGUGGCGGACGGGUGAGUAAUGUCUGUGAAACUGCCUGCUGGAGGGGGAUAACUACUGGAAACGGUAGCUAAUACCGCAUACCAUCAGAUGUGCCCAGAUGGGAUUAGCUUGUUGGUGGGGUAAAGGCUCACCUAGGCGACGAUCCCUAGCUGGUCUGAGAGGAUGACCAGCCACACUGGAACGGAGACACGGUCCAGACGCCUACGGGAGGCAGCAGUGGGGAAUGUUGGACAAUGGGCGAAAGCCUGAUGCAGCCAUGCCGCGUGUAUGAAGAAGGCCUUCGGGUUGUAAAGUACUUUCGGCGGGGAGGCGUUACCCGCAGAAGAAGCACCGGCUAACUACGUGCCAGCAGCCGCGGUAAUAC
rnacentral:rRNA from 1 species